CGGGAGAGAAGCGGGCAUUAGGAACCGCAGAGAAGACGCCAGCGGCCGUGGAUAAACAACCAGCUCCACACAGGACUCACUUCUAAACCGAGACUUCCGGAUCGGAGCCCGGCGCCAGGACGGAGAAGCGUGGGUCCCCGCGGGGAGGGCAGGGAGCCCAGGCCCACAGGGAGCGACAGCACUGACCAGGCAGUCACCACCCCAGGGACAGUGUGUAUCCUGUGAGGAUCAACAGCUGAGGAUGAUGAUGUUGAGCGCCAGAUGGACGCAGCAUUGGGAGGCUCUGCAUUGCCACUCUCCAGCCUCACCACCCACCAUACCCCUGGGGUCCACCGACCUUGGACUACAUAAUGAAGACUCUCAGCCAAAAUUCUCCUCCUUCCUGCCUGAGUCAUCUGUGGCUGCCUUUUACUUACAGUGAGGAAAGCUGAUCAAUACAAAGUCCUAACACCCAG